GGCUCGGUAGCUUAGUUGGUAAAGCGCUCGUCUAGCAUACAAGAGUCCUGGGUUCAAAUCCCACCCGAGCAC
rfam:Aedes aegypti strain Liverpool supercont1.113 genomic scaffold, whole genome shotgun sequence.